rnacentral:ncRNA from 1 species
GGAAGGGACAGCGAAAUCGUGGCAAGACGGACAUAGUCCGAUAGUAAGGUGUAUUGGACUGACGAGCCGGCAAAUGAAAGUAAUGUCCUAAAGGCGACCGUAACUCGGAUGCGUAAAUCAGACAGGCAAACGAGGAAAGCUU